CACCAAAACCCUGCAGCCGGGAUUAAGCCUUGUUGUACCGUUUAUGGACAGAAUUGGCCGCAAGAUCAAUAUGAUGGAGCAAGUGCUGGAUAUUCCGUCGCAGGAGGUGAUCUCAAAAGAUAACGCCAACGUCACUAUCGAUGCGGUCUGUUUUAUUCAGGUUAUCGAUGCGCCGCGCGCCGCCUAUGAAGUCAGUAAUCUGGAACUGGCGAUCAUUAACCUGACCAUGACCAAUAUCCGUACGGUGCUCGGUUCGAUGGAGCUGGAUGAAAUGCUCUCCCAGCGCGACAGCAUCAACACGCGGCUGCUACAUAU
rnacentral:misc_RNA from 1 species